CUGUAGUGCGCUAUGCAGAUCGGGUGUCUGCACUAAGCUAGGCAUCAAUAUGGUGACCUCUUGGGAGCGGGGGGCCACCAGGUUGUCUAAGGAGGGGUGAACCGGCCCAGGUCGGAGACGGAGCAGGGGAAAGGUCGGGG